UACGGAGGGUGCGAGCGUUGUCCGGAAUCAUUGGGCGUAAAGGGCGCGUAGGUGGCCCGGUCAGUCUUUGGUGAAAGCGCGGGGCUCAACCCUGCGUCGGCCAGGGAUACUGCCGCGGCUCGAGCACUGUAGAGGCAGGCGGAAUUCCGGGUGUAGCGGUGGAAUGCGUAGAGAUCCGGAAGAACACCGGUGGCGAAGGCGGCCUGCUGGGCAGUUUUGCUGGACACUGAGGCGCGACAGCGUGGGGAGCAACAGG
rnacentral:rRNA from 1 species